AUACGUAGGGGGCAAGCGUUGUCCGGAAUUACUGGGCGUAAAGGGUGCGUAGGCGGUUUUUUAAGUCAGAUGUGAAAUCCCCGGGCUUAACUCGGGUGUUGCAUUUGAAACUGGGAGACUAGAGUGCAGGAGAGGGAAGCGGAAUUCCUAGUGUAGCGGUGAAAUGCGUAGAUAUUAGGAGGAACAUCAGUGGCGAAGGCGGCUUUCUGGACUGUAACUGACGCUGAGGCACGAAAGCGUGGGGAGCAAACAGGAUUAGAUACCCUGGUAGUCCACGCUGUAAACGAUGGAUACUAGGUGUAGGGGGCGUAGAGCCUUCUGUGCCGCAGCAAACGCAAUAAGUAUCCCGCCUGGGGAGUACGGCCGCAAGGUUGA
rnacentral:rRNA from 1 species